UAUGACUAUAGUUCUAAAUGAAAUAGCAAAGUUUUCUAAAAAAAAUAUUUUCAGGUAAUAUAUUCAGUUGUUUUGGACUACUGGUAAUUAAGACGUGACUUAGGAUGACAGCCGAGAUUAUGAUUUAAGGUGUUGACAUUGUUCAAUAUAUUAUUUUUUUGGUCAUAUCUGUACUGUCUUUUGACUAGUAGUUACCACAGUAUUAUUUAAUUAUAGCUUUACAUUUUAAAGUUAACAAGUUAUUUUUUACUAUUUCAAAUGCUCUGCAUACAUAACUAAACAGGAAGCUCAAAAGCAACAGGAUGUAAUUAAGACGUGACUUAGGAUGACAGCCAAGAUUAUGAUUUAAGGAAGCUCAAAAGCAACAGGAUAGCAAGGAUUUUGAGACCAAGAUGUACAUCCUGCAGAUUUACAGACCAAGAUGAAGUACAUCCUGCUGAUUUACAGACCAAAAUAAAGUACAUUCUGCUGAUAUACAGACCAAAAUAAAGUAAAAUCUGCUGAUUUUCAGACCAAAAUAAAGUACAUUCUGAUGAUUUACAGACACUUGUAUGGGCUGCUUGUAAUUAAAGUGUCUGUAGAUAA